rnacentral:misc_RNA from 1 species
GCAACAUGGACCGUGUGAGUAUUUCUUAUGAAUUUUUGUUAUUUUUUGUCAUAGUCAUUCGGUUUUCAAACCUUGUACACGACUUUGAUCUUUCUCAUGGAUAAUUCUUCUUUGAAUUAACAGUACUACAACUUUCAUUAUGGGUUAUUCACUUUCAAUUAGUUGCAAGAUCUCAGUUAAGCUGUGCAAUGAGCAAUUCAGAAUAAAUCAUUCAUUGUACUUGUUUAAUCUUGAUAUGCUAGCUUAUUGAUGUGUUCAUAGUAGGUAAACAUGAGCAUUGCAAU